GAGGAUGCUUCUGGCGCGGUGCCUUCCGAGUUCCCUGGAACGGGACGCCACAGAGGGUGAGAGCCCCGUAUGGUCGGACACCAAGCCUGUGUGAAGCUCCUUCGACGAGUCGAGUAGUUUGGGAAUGCUGCUCUAAAUGGGAGGUAAAUCUCUUCUAAAGCUAAAUACCGGCCAGAGACCGAUAGCGCACAAGUAGAGUGAUCGAAAGAUGAAAAGCACCUUGAAAAGGGGGUUAAAUAGUACGUGAAAUUGUUGAAAGGGAAGCACUUGUGACCAGACUUGGGCCGGGCGGCUCAUCAGGGGUUCUCCCCUGUGCACUCCGCCCGGCACAGGCCAGCAUCGGUUCUCGUGGGGGGAUAAGACCGUCAGGAACGUAGCACCCUCCGGGGUGUGUUAUAGCCUGGCGGACGAUACCCCCGUGGGGACCGAGGUUCGCGCUCCGCAAGGAUGCUGGCGUAAUGGUCACCAGUGACCCGUCUUGAAACACGGACCAAGGAGUCGUCCAUUAGAGCGAGCGUUUGGGUGUAAAACCCGCACGCGUAAUGAAAGUGAACGCAGGUGAGAGCUUCGGCGCAUCAUCGACCGAUCCUGAUGUUCUCGGAAGGAUUUGAGUAAGAGUUUUAACGGACGGACCCGAAAGACAGUGAACUAUGCUUGUAUAGGGUGAAGCCAGAGGAAACUCUGGUGGAGGCUCGCAGCGGUUCUGACGUGCAAAUCGAUCGUCAAAUAUGAGCAUGGGGGCGAAAGACUAAUCGAACUGUCUAGUAGCUGGUUACCGCCGAAGUUUCCCUCAGGAUAGCAGUGUUGAUCUUCAGUUUUAUGAGGUAAAGCGAAUGAUUAGGGACUCGGGGGCGCUAUAUAGCCUUCAUCCAUUCUCAAACUUUAAAUAUGUAAGAAGCCCUUGUUACUUAGUUGAACGUGGGCAUUCGAAUGUACCAACACUAGUGGGCCAUUUUUGGUAAGCAGAACUGGCGAUGCGGGAUGAACCGAACGCGGGGUUAAGGCGCCAGAGUGUACGCUCAUCAGACACCACAAAAGGCGUUAGUACAUCUUGACAGCAGGACGGUGGCCAUGGAAGUCGGAAUCCGCUAAGGACUGUGUAACAACUCACC
rnacentral:rRNA from 1 species